AUGAAGUCGGAAUUGCUAGUAAUCGCGGAUCAGCAUGCCGCGGUGAAUACGUUCCCGGGCCUUGUACACACCGCCCGUCACACCAUGAGAGCCGGUAACACCCGAAGUCAGUAGCCUAACCGCAAGGGGGGCGCUGCCGAAGGUGGGAUUGGUAAUUGGGGUGAAGUCGUAACAAGGUACC
rnacentral:rRNA from 1 species